rnacentral:rRNA from 1 species
CGUAGGAGGCAAGCGUUAUCCGGAUUCACUGGGCGUAAGGCGCGUGCAGGUGGCGCGGUAAGUUAGGCGUGAAAUCUCCCGGCUCAACUGGGAGAGGUCGUCUAAUACUACCGUGCUUGAGAGCAGAAGAGGAAGAUGGAAUUCCCGGUGUAGUGGUGAAAUGCGUAGAUAUCGGGAGGAACACCAGUGGCGAAGGCGAUCUUCUGGUCUGUUUCUGACACUCAGACGCGACAGCUAGGGUAGUAAACGGGAUUAGAGACCCCGGUAAUCCUAGCCGUAAACGAUGUGAACUUGGCGUUGGUGGGUUAAACUCCAUCAGUGCCGUAGCAAACGCGAUAAGUUCACCGCCUGGGGACUACGGCCGCAAGGUUA